ensembl:snoRNA
AGGAGGAUUUGAGAAAGUUAAGCAGCUAUUUUUUGUACUGCAUUAACUGGUUGUAACCUCCUAGAAAAAAACCACAAGUG